GGUCUGGGCUCGACGGCGCAGGGGCUGGGCAGAGGGCUGGGCUCUCCUAUCUCUCCAUGAACACAAACCCAUUUCAGCUCAAGAUCUAUUCCAUUUUCAAAUUAACACAUGCAAUGGAAGGCACUGUGGAGAUACCUUCACUGGUCCUAAUAAGCCCAACAAGCCUUCUAUUUGGACUGCUCAAUACAGAGUUUUCGGAGACCCUCCUUCUCAAAGAGCAGCAGAAGACAUUGCAUACUUGGUUGCCCAGUUUUUCUCCAAGAAUGGAACUUUGAACAACUACUA